rnacentral:rRNA from 1 species
GCUCCAAUAGCGUAUAUUAAAGUUGCUGCAGUUAAAAAGCUCGUAGUUGGAUUUCUGGUGUAAUGCGCCUGUCCGCCUCGAUUAGAGUGUGUGUGACGGUGUGCGUUUGCCAUCCUUGUACAGAACGUCGCUGCUUAAUUGUUGGCGGCGCGAUGUGCAUCAUUUACUUUGAAAAAAUUAGAGUGUUUAAAGCAGGCUUG